rnacentral:rRNA from 1 species
AACGAACGCUGGCGGCAUGCCUAACACAUGCAAGUCGAACGAGACCUUCGGGUCUAGUGGCGCACGGGUGCGUAACGCGUGGGAAUCUGCCCUAAGGUUCGGAAUAACAGUUAGAAAUGACUGCUAAUACCGGAUGAUGUCUUCGGACCAAAGGUUUACUGCCUUAGGAUGAGCCCGCGUAGGAUUAGCUAGUUGGUGAGGUAAAGGCUCACCAAGGCGACGAUCCUUAGCUGGUCUGAGAGGAUGAUCAGCCACACUGGGACUGAGACACGGCCCAGACUCCUACGGGAGGCAGCAGUGGGGAAGUAAUUGGACAAUGGGCGAAAGCCUGAUCCAGCAAUGCCGCGUGAGUGAUGAAGGCCUUAGGGUUGUAAAGCUCUUUUGCCCGGGAUGAUAAUGACAGUACCGGGAGAAUAACGCCCCGGCUAACUCCGUGCCAGCCGCCGCUGUAAC